AAAGCCCUUCGGGGUGAGUAAAGUGGCGAACGGGUGAGUAACACGUGGGUAACCUGCCCCUCGCAGAGGGAUAACUGGGGGAAACCCCAGCUAAUACCUCGUACACUUGCCGGGUCGCAUGGCUCUGGCAAGGAAAGGUAGCUUCGGCCAUCCGGCGAGGGAUGGGCCCGCGGUCCAUUAGCUAGUUGGUGGGGUAAAGGCCCACCAAGGCGACGAUGGAUAGCUGGUCUGAGAGGAUGAUCAGCCACACUGGGACUGAGACACGGCCCAGACUCCUACGGGAGGCAGCAGUCGGGAAUCUUGCGCAAUGGGCGAAAGCCUGACGCAGCAACACCGUGUGGGCGACGAAGGCCUUCGGGUCGUAAAGCCCUGUUGUUGGGGACGAAGGACGAAGGGUUAAUAGCCCCUAGUCUGACGGUACCCUUCGAGGAAGCCCCGGCUAACUACGUGCCAGCAGCCGCGGUAAUACGUAGGGGGCGAGCGUUGUCCGGAAUUAUUGGGCGUAAAGAGCGUGUAGGCGGUUCGGUAAGUCUGCCGUGAAAACCUGGGGCUCAACCCCGGGCGUGCGGUGGAUACUGCCGGGCUAGAGGGUGGUANAGGCGAGUGGAAUUCCCGGUGUAGCGGUGAAAUGCGCAGAUAUCGGGAGGAACACCAGUAGCGAAGGCGGCUCGCUGGGCCAUUCCUGACGCUGAGACGCGAAAGCUAGGGGAGCGAACAGGAUUAGAUACCCUGGUAGUCCUAGCCGUAAGCGAUGAACACUAGGUGUGGGGGGAGUC
rnacentral:rRNA from 1 species